rnacentral:ncRNA from 1 species
GAGAGCCGUAUGAUGGGAAACUAUCACGUACGGUUCGGGAAAGGGUAAUUAUAAGUCUAAGCCAAAAAAAGAGGCUAUAAUUAUCUAGUUCAGAU